rnacentral:rRNA from 1 species
AGUAACGCGUGGGCAACCUGCCCCAUAGAGGGGGACAACAGCUGGAAACGGUUGCUAAUACCGCAUAACAAGGAGAGAGCGCAUGUUCUUUUCUUCAAAGAUUUAUCGCUAUGGGAUGGACCCGCGUCUGAUUAGCUAGUUGGUGAGGUAACGGCUCACCAAGGCGACGAUCAGUAGCCGGCUUGAGAGAGUGAACGGCCACAUUGGGACUGAGACACGGCCCAGACUCCUACGGAAGGCAGCAG